ACCUCUUUCAGCAGAUCCCCUAGCUCGGCGACUUGGGGGACUCCUACUACAUGGUUUGUAUCGCGCUUGACCAAGCCUGAAACUACAAGUAAGCUUCAAGUGAAAUUGAUACAUUACCUUGUGCAUCUCCACCAGUUACAGAUACCACCCCUAGAUGGAGGAAGAGUACUUCCAGAGAAGAUGCCACAUCUACCUAUGAG
rnacentral:lncRNA from 1 species